rnacentral:rRNA from 1 species
GAUGAACGCUGGCGGCGUGCUUAACACAUGCAAGUCGAACGAAGCACCUUAUUCUGAUUUCUUCGGAAUGAAAAAUUUGGUGACUGAGUGGCGUACGUGUGAGUAACGCGUGGGUAACCUGCCUCAUACAGGGGGCUAACAGUUAGACAUGCCUGCGAAUCCCGCAGCAGACCACAGCACCGCAUGGUGCAGGGGUAAAAACUCCGGUGGUAUGAGAUGGACCCGCGGCUGAUUAGGUAGUUGGUGGGGUAACGGCCUACCAAGCCGACGAUCAGUAGCCGACCUGGGAGGGUGACCGGCCACAUUGGGACUGAGACACUGCCCAAACUCCUACGGGAGGCAGCAGUGGGGAAUAUUGCACAAUGGGGGAAACCCUGAUGCAGCGACGCCGCGUGAGCGAUGAAGUAUUUCGGUAUGUAAAGCUCUAUCAGCAGGGAAGAAAAUGACGGUACCUGACUAAGGAGCACCGGCUAAAUACGUGCCAGCCGCCGCGGUAA